GUGGGCUAUGGAUCCUAAAUAUGCAGGUUGGCUUUACCACACAGAACACGGUGAGUAGAGCAUUAUUUAUUUUAUGUUAUAUGUGAAAAGUGUAGACUAAGCUAUAUUAAGUGAGUUAUUGUAUUAUUCCUAGGAAUGUUUUGUAGAAUCUGCAGGAUGCACCGACAAAAGGCAUCUCGUGGCCCCUCUCAAAGGCCUUUCAUAGAGCUACCUUGUACCAACUACAGGCGCGAUGCCUUGGACCAGCACUUGGGCUCAACGAAUCAUAUUUCAUGUGUGGGCAUUACAGCCCAAUCAAGCCGAAGUCUGCCCAUCAAUGAGGCAUUUCAGCCCAUUUUGAAUUUGGAGCAUGAGGCCAUAAUUGGUGGCUUUAAAUGUCUAUACUGGCUGGUAAAACAUGAAAUUGCGCACCAUACAAAUUACCCGGCAUUGCUGGAUCUGGCAGACCUCCUAGGCUGCGAAUAUUUUGCCAAACUGAAGAUUGAUCAGAGGACAAACUACAGGUCCCACAGGAUUGUGGAUGAAAUGCUACAGAUUCUGGGUGAAGUGGUUGAGGAGCCCAUUUUAGAGGCCAUUAAAUCAUCAAAGGCUAUUGGCCUGGAAAUUGAUGAGUCCACAGACAUCUCUGUGACAAAACAGUUAGAUCUCCAUGUCAGGUACA